UUAUAAGAGACAGCAGCAGCCGCGGGAAUACGUAGGGUGCAAGCGUUAAUCGGAAUUACUGGGCGUAAAGCGUGCGCAGGCGGUUAUAUAAGACAGAUGUGAAAUCCCCGGGCUCAACCUGGGAACUGCAUUUGUGACUGUAUAGCUAGAGUACGGCAGAGGGGGAUGGAAUUCCGCGUGUAGCAGUGAAAUGCGUAGAUAUGCGGAGGAACACCGAUGGCGAAGGCAAUCCCCUGGGCCUGUACUGACGCUCAUGCACGAAAGCGUGGGGAGCAAACAGGAUUAGAUACCCCUGUAGUCCCUGUCUCUUAUAC
rnacentral:rRNA from 1 species